rnacentral:rRNA from 1 species
CCUACGGGUGGCAGCAGUGGGGAAUAUUGGGCAAUGGGCGCAAGCCUGACCCAGCAACGCCGCGUGAAGGAAGACGGCUUUCGGGGUGUAAACUUCUUUUCUUAGAGACGAAGAAAGUGACGGUACCUCAGGAAUAAGCCACGGCUAACUACGUGCCAGCAGCCGCGGUAAGACGUAGGCGGCAAGCGUUAGCCGGAUUUAUUGGGUGUAAAGGGCGUGUAGGCGGGAUAGGAAGUCAGAUGGGAAAACUCAGGGCUCAACCCUGAGCCUGCAUUUGAAACUGUUGUGCUUGAGUACAGGAGAGGUAAGCGGAAUUCGGAGUGUAGAGGUGAAAUGCGUAGAUAUGAGGAGGAACACCAGUGGCGAAGGCGGCUUUCUGGACUGUAACUGACACUGAGGCGCGAAAGCGUGGGUAGCGAACAGGAUUAGAUACCCGAGUAGUC